rnacentral:rRNA from 1 species
CUACGGGUUGCUCCAGUGGGGAAUAUUGGACAAUGGGGGAAACCCUGAUCCAGCAAUGCCGCGUGUGUGAAGAAGGCCUGCGGGUUGUAAAGCACUUUCGGUUGGGAGGACUGCUUCUAGCACUAAUAUUGUUGGAAGUUGACGUUACCUUCAGAAGAAGCACCGGCUAACUCCGUGCCAGCAGCCGUGGUAAUACGGAGGGUGCAAGCGUUAAUCGGAAUUACUGGGCGUAAAGCGCGCGUAGGCGGCUAGAUCAGUCGGGUGUGAAAGCCCCGGGCUUAACCUGGGAACUGCAUCCGAUACUGUCUAGCUUGAAUACAGGAGAGGAGAGUGGAAUUCCACAUGUAGCGGUGAAAUGCGUAGAUAUGUGGAGGAACACCAAUGGCGAAGGCAGCUCUCUGGCCUGAUACUGGCGCUGAGGUGCGAAAGCGUGGGGAGCAAACAGGAUUAGAUACCCUCGUAGUC